rnacentral:rRNA from 1 species
CCUACGGGAGGCAGCAGUGGGGAAUAUUGGGCAAUGGGCGAAAGCCUGACCCAGCAACGCCGCGUGAAGGAAGAAGGCCUUCGGGUUGUAAACCUCUUUUCUCAGGGACGAAGCAAGUGACGGUACCUGAGGAAUAAGCCACCGCUAACUACGUGCCAGCAGCCGCGGUAAUACGUAGGGGGCAAGCGUUAUCCGGAUUUACUGGGUGUAAAGGGCGUGUAGGCGGGACUGCAAGUCAGAGGUGAAAACCACGGGCUCAACCUGUGGCCUGCAUUUGAAACUGUAGUUCUUGAGUGCUGGAGAGGCAGACGGAAUUCCUGGUGUAGCGGUGAAAUGCGUAGAUAUUAGGAGGAACACCAGUGGCGAAGGCGGUCUGCUGGACAGCAACUGACGCUGAGGCGCGAAAGCGUGGGGAGCAAACAGGAUUAGAUACCCCUGUAGUC